rnacentral:tRNA from 1 species
AAAAAUUUAGUUAAUCUAUAACGUCAGUUUGUCAAACUGAAAUUAUUACCAGUAAUAAUUUUUU